rnacentral:rRNA from 1 species
CCUACGGGUGGCAGCAGUGGGGAAUAUUGCACAAUGGGGGAAACCCUGAUGCAGCGACGCCGCGUGAGUGAAGAAGUAAUUCGUUAUGUAAAGCUCUAUCAGCAGGGAAGAAAAUGACGGUACCUGAGUAAGCAGCACCGACUAACUACGUGCCAGCAGCCGCGGUAAUACGUAGGGGGAACGCGUUAUCCGGAUUUACUGGGUGUAUAGGGAGCGUAGUCGGGAGUGCAAGUCUGGAGGGAAAGGCGGAGGCUCAACCCUAGAACUGCUCUUGAAACUGUACGGCUGGAGUGCAGGAGAGGAAAGUGGAAUUCCUAGUGUAGCGGUGAAAUGCGUAGAUAUUAGGAGGAACACCAGUGGCGAAGGCAGGUUACUGGACUGUAACUGACGUUGAGGCACGAAGGCCAGGGGAGCGAAAGGGAUUAGAUACCCUGGUAGUC